GGAGAGGUGUCCGAGCGGUUUAAGGAGCUGGUCUUGAAAACCAGUGAUGCGCAAGCACCGAGAGUUCGAAUCUCUCCCUCUCCGCCA
rnacentral:tRNA from 2 species